CUUCUAUUGACAGGUUGAUAACUCAGAUAUUAUAAUUUACAUGAUAUCUGAUUGCAUUAGUAAUAAUAAAAAUCACCCACAACGUUUCCAUACAAUCUGACUUCACGGCGUUGCCUCACCGCAGUUAUAGGUCUUGUUGUCGGCUAUGCAAUUCUGAGUUUUUUCCCAGACAGAAAUUGGGGAAUGCUGCACUCUGUGUCGCAUUGCAGUGAGUUCCCAUGACGAUGCUGGAAACGGCCAACACAAUAGAAUGUCAGCAAAACAGGCUGAGAGGAGCUGGCUGCCUGAAUUGGUGCUGCAGACCUCCUUGACCUCCUCCUGAUUGAGUUCUCCUGGAUGUUUCCAGUGCAGAGCACAUGUUGCCCCUGUCAGAGGUGUAACCGUGGCACCCAAGUCCGUAUGACAGACCUUACGAACACCUGAUGACAUCAUCAUCAUCAUGAUCAUAGUCAUCAUCAUCUCCAUCGCCAUCAUCAUCAAACUGUAGCCCUUCCCUGGGUCAG
rnacentral:lncRNA from 1 species